GUGGGGAAUUUUGGACAAUGGGCGCAAGCCUGAUCCAGCAAUGCCGCGUGCAGGAAGAAGGCCUUCGGGUUGUAAACUGCUUUUGUACGGAACGAAACGGUCCGGGUUAAUACCCUGGGCUAAUGACGGUACCGUAAGAAUAAGCACCGGCUAACUACGUGCCAGCAGCCGCGGUAAUACGUAGGGUGCAAGCGUUAAUCGGAAUUACUGGGCGUAAAGCGUGCGCAGGCGGUUUUGUAAGACAGGCGUGAAAUCCCCGGGCUCAACCUGGGAAUUGCGCUUGUGAGUGCCAGGCUGGAGUGCGGCAGAGGGGGAUGGAAUUCCGCGUGUAGCAGUGAAAUGCGUAGAUAUGCGGAGGAACACCGAUGGCGAAGGCAAUCCCCUGGGCCUGCACUGACGCUCAUGCACGAAAGCGUGGGGAGCAAACAGGAUUAGAAACCCGUGUAGUCC
rnacentral:rRNA from 1 species